CAGUAGCCACGGUAAUACGAGGGGAGCUAGCGUUGUUCGGAAUUACUGGGCGUAAAGCGCGCGUAGGCGGCUUUUUAAGUCAGAGGUGAAAGCCCGGGGCUCAACCCCGGAAUUGCCUUUGAAACUGGAAAGCUAGAAUCUUGGAGAGGUCAGUGGAAUUCCGAGUGUAGAGGUGAAAUUCGUAGAUAUUCGGAAGAACACCAGUGGCGAAGGCGACUGACUGGACAAGUAUUGACGCUGAGGUGCGAAAGCGUGGGGAGCAAACAGGAUUAGAGACCCCCGUAGUCCCUGUCUCUUAUAC
rnacentral:rRNA from 1 species